rnacentral:rRNA from 1 species
GACGAACGCUGGCGGCGUGCUUAACACAUGCAAGCCGAGCGACUGCAUCUCUUUCGGGGGGUGUAUGGAGCGGCGAACGGGUGAGUAACACGUGAGUAACCUGCCCUUGGCUUUGGGAUAACCCUCGGAAACGGGGGCUAAUACCGGAUAUUCACAUGCUGCGGCAUCGUGGUGUGUGGAAAGAUUUUUUGGCUGGGGAUGGGCUCGCGGCCUAUCAGCUUGUUGGUGGGGUGAUGGCCUACCAAGGCGGCGACGGGUAGCCGGCCUGAGAGGGCGACCGGCCACACUGGGACUGAGACACGGCCCAGACUCCUACGGGAGGCAGCAGUGGGGAAUAUUGCACAAUGGGCGCAAGCCUGAUGCAGCGACGCCGCGUGAGGGAUGACGGCCUUCGGGUUGUAAACCUCUUUCGACCCUGACGAAGCGUGAGUGACGGUAGGGGGAGAAGAAGCGCCGGCCAACUACGUGCCAGCAGCCGCCGUAAUAC